rnacentral:pre_miRNA from 1 species
AAAGUACUCCCUCCGUCCCAAAAUUCUUGUCUUAGAUUUGUCUAGAUACGGAUGUAUCAAGUCACAUUUUAGUAUUAGAUACAUCCGUAUCUAGACAAAUCUAAGACAGGAAAUUUGGGACAAAGGGAGUAGUUA